GGUUAAGUCCCGCAACGAGCGCAACCCCUACCGUUAGUUGCUAACGCGUGAAGGCGAGCACUCUAGACGAACUGCCGUUGACAAAACGGAGGAAGGUGGGGAUGACGUCAAAUCAUCAUGCCCCUUACUGUUCUGGGCUACACACGUGCUACAAUGGCCGGUACAGACGGACGCAAAGCCGCGAGGUGGAGCAAAUCCUAAAAAGACCGGUCUCAGUUCGGAUUGCAGGCUGCAAUUCGCCUGCAUGAAGUCGGAAUCGCUAGUAAUCGCAGGUCAGCAUACUGCGGUCGAAUACGUUCCCGGGCCUU
rnacentral:rRNA from 1 species